AUGGCUGCACCCACGGGACGGCCUGCUCUCCCUCUCCCUGCAAGACGCAGGAAUAGCAUUUCCUCAAGGGGAUUUGCAUGGCAAAACCCCGCCGUGAGGGACUCCUCGGGCUUGGCGACGCUGGAGAGGAAGACACACGCUGACGGAGUGAAUCAUACCCAAAUCUUACAGCACCAAACUCGGCAGAUGUGCGGUCCCAGGUGGGUUUUGCGGCACUGCACACCUCAAGCACCGGUGGGCACGGUCACCGUCCCCUCCCUCCGAGAGCUGCAGGGGACACUGGGGACACCGUCCUGCUUCGGGGGACAGCAGCGUGACAAACCCUUGGGAAUAAUCCUCGUCCCCCCCCGCAUGCCGCUGAUGCGCUGCCAGCGAUGCAGCCUCGGCCCCGGUUCUGGCCACGCAGGGACGAGUCGGGCUCCAUCCGCUCUCCCAGCAGCUCCCAGCAUUUCAAAACAAGCGCAGUGGCUGUGCCUCUUUGAAAUUUGCCUCGUGGGCCUUUUCUGUUUGUUUUUUUGGAGGCAGGAGAGUUCACAUUCCCAAGGUUUUCCCCCCGCAGCCAGUACAGCGGGGUUUAUUUUUUUUUAAUAAAGAAAGAAGCAAGCAGAGCUCUGCGCGUAACCUCAGCUUCCCUGAGCAGGGCAUCACCCCCAGGCGCUGGGCAGGGGUUAGAGGGGGCUCGUAGAGCUUCCUUCCCACCCCAAAGCCCCAAUCCUGGCAACGUCCCUACACACAGCAGCAAGUACUGGAUGGAGUCCAUCUUAUAAAGCCACCGCCUUUCUUGUGUGAGAACAAGAAGUACGGAGGGAAAGCAAAAUCUGUCACGUGGGACCAUUUCAUCCAUCUCAGCCAUUAACACGGAUGCAAACACAGAAGGGCAGCACGUCCCAAACACCAACGGCUGGAGGAAACAGGAGGAAACCAGGGAAGCGAGGUGUUGGCUUCCUAGCCAAGGAAGGGGCUGCUGAGCACGGAAAACACAGGCAGCUCCUUUGGAAGUUGUAAGCACAGAAAGGAGAGCAUCCACAUCUUAGCUGAACACCUCCAGCCUUCCAGGAUUUAAGCACCUCCACUGGGAAGAAAUGCAGGCAGGGCACGGAGAGAGCUUGCUUGGAAAAAGCACCUUGUAGCAAAAGUCUGCGUGAAGGAGAGCUGGGCGCACACCAAACUUUGGGCUGCUCAGGGCAGGAGAACCGAGUGUGGCUGCACUACAGAGCCCAGCUCCUCUGAACUGAAAAGACUGGCCCUGAGAAUGCCCAGAGCUGCAGGCAGAUGGGCUGGGGGAAGGGUGCUCGGCUCUCCAGGAACCCCAGGAUGCUCCUGGCCCCGUGGGGCUCAGUGCUCCCUGCAGCUGGACCCGGCCCCAGCUGCUGCCCAGCUGCAUCGGCAGCUCUCGAAGGAAGGAUGUAGCACAGCACAAUGAUUUGUUUUUAUUGGGAAUAUUUGCUUCCUGCCAUCAGGAUGAGUACGCAGCAGCAGAGAAACGUGCAGGGGUUUGGAGACCUUGUGCACCAUGUGAGGCAGCACGGGCUCAUUGAAAGGGAUAUUAUGCAGACAUCUGCUGAGCUGGGGCUGUGUGAGCGAGAGG
ensembl:lncRNA